rnacentral:rRNA from 1 species
UGGUGGAGUGAUUUGUCUGGUUAAUUCCGUUAAUGAACGAGACCGCCGCCUGCUAAAUAGUUCUACCAAUGGUUUUUCAUUGGUAAGAGCUUCUUAGAGGGACGUUCAUUCUACAAGAUGAAGGAAGAUGGCGGCAAUAACA